UCUCCAUCAAACCUAAUUUCACACUUCACACACCCACACACACCUUAUACUCAUUCACGGGACUAAGUUUCCUCACCGUCGCUGCUAACAUUUCAUCGAUUCACACACAUCGCCGGCGCGCCAAUCAGCUCGCCGCCGACAGCCUUUCCUCACCGCCGCUGCUGUGCCGAUCGGCUCACCACCACCGCUGGAAAUGGUCAGAGACCGGAAGUGCGUGUAGUCACAUGGAACAAUGAUGAGCUUGCAACAGAUGCACUACCUGUCUAUGGCUUUGAGCAUUACAAGGCAAAGGAUUAUGCCCUUGCUCAUGCUCCAUUCUCAGGUAGCAGCUAUGCAGGUGGGCAGUGGGCUGCUAGUGAUGAGCCAUUAUACUAUAUUAUAUCCCCAAAGGAUGUAGUUAUUGCAAAACCUAGUUGAUUGCUAGGGAUGCAAAAGAUCAUAUUUCUUGGCUUCUUCAACAUGGAUGGCAUGAAAAAGCUUUAGCAGCAGUUGAAGCUGGGCAGGGACGAAAUGAGCUUCUUGAUGAGGUGGGGUCUAGCUAUCUUGAUCAUUUGAUUGUGGAAAGGAAAUAUACUAAAGCCGCAUCAUUAUGUCCCAAAUUGUUGCGAGGAUCAGCUUCAGCAUGGGAGAGCUUCCUGUAUUGGUUCCAUACAUACCAACUGAAAACCCAAGGUUACGUGAUACUACUUAUGAGGUAGCUCUUGUUGCUCUGACAACAAAUCCAUCUUUUCACAAGGAUCUCUUGUCAACUGUCAAAUCUUGGCCGCCUGUAAUUUAUUCUGCCUUGCCUGUUAUCUCAGCCAUAGGACCUCAGCUUAAUACUUAAUGGAAAAGAUCUUUUGCUUCGUAUCAUAUCUAAGCUUGAAAUUGCCCAUUUCCUUGAUUUGCUUUUUGUUUCUGUUGUUGUUAUUGUAAUCAUUAUCAGUUGUUACCUAGAAAGGAAAAAUUCAAAGAGAACACUGAAACUUCUUUAUUG